AUUGAACGCUGGCGGCAGGCUUAACACACGCAAGUCGAGCGGAGAUGAGGUGCUCGCACCUUAUCUUAGCGGCGGACGGGUGAGUAAUGCUUAGGAAUCUGCCUAUUAGUGGGGGACAACAUUCCGAAAGGAAUGCUAAUACCGCAUACGUCCUACGGGAGAAAGCAGGGGAUCUUCGGACCUUGCGCUAAUAGAUGAGCCUAAGUCGGAUUAGCUAGUUGGUGGGGUAAAGGCCUACCAAGGCGACGAUCUGUAGCGGGUCUGAGAGGAUGAUCCGCCACACUGGGACUGAGACACGGCCCAGACUCCUACGGGAGGCAGCAGUGGGGAAUAUUGGACAAUGGGGGAAACCCUGAUCCAGCCAUGCCGCGUGUGUGAAGAAGGCCUUAUGGUUGUAAAGCACUUUAAGCGAGGAGGAGGCUACUGAGACUAAUACUCUUGGAUAGUGGACGUUACUCGCAGAAUAAGCACCGGCUAACUCUGUGCCAGCCGCCGCAGUAACAC
rnacentral:rRNA from 1 species